AGUGAACGCUGGCGGUAGGCCUAACACAUGCAAGUCGAACGGCAGCACAGUAAGAGCUUGCUCUUACGGGUGGCGAGUGGCGGACGGGUGAGGAAUACAUCGGAAUCUACUUUUUCGUGGGGGAGAACGUAGGGAAACUUACGCUAAUACCGCAUACGACCUACGGGUGAAAGCAGGGGAUCUUCGGACCUUGCGCGAUUGAAUGAGCCGAUGUCGGAUUAGCUAGUUGGCGGGGUAAAGGCCCACCAAGGCGACGAUCCGUAGCUGGUCUGAGAGGAUGAUCAGCCAAACUGGAACGUAGACACGGUCCAGACUCCUACGGGAGGCAGCAGUGGGGAAUAUUGGACAAUGGGCGCAAGCCUGAUCCAGCCAUACCGCGUGGGUGAAGAAGGCCUUCGGGUUGUAAAGCCCUUUUGUUGGGAAAGAAAAGCAGCAGGUUAAUACCCCGCUGUUCUGACGGUACCCAAAGAAUAAGCACCGGCUAACUUCGUG
rnacentral:rRNA from 1 species